GCUUGUCUCAAAGAUUAAGCCAUGCAUGUCUAAGUAUAAACGCUUUAUACUGUGAAACUGCGAAUGGCUCAUUAUAUCAGUUAUAGACUAUUCAAUAAUCUCUUACUACUUGGAUAACCGUAGUAAUUCUAGAGCUAAUACAUGCACUCGAGCCUCGACCGAGGCCCCGGCAACGGGGUCGCGGAAGAGGUGCUUUUAUUAGAUCAAAACCAGUCGGGGAAACGAUCGCCGGGUCAAACCGGUCGGUCGCGGAACCGUACCAAUUUUGGUGACUCUGGAUAACUUCACGCCGAUCGCACGGCCUUCGCGCCGGCGACGUAUCUUUCAAAUGUCUGCCUUAUCAACUGUCGAUGGUAGGUUACGCGCCUACCAUGGUUGCAACGGGUAACGGGGAAUCGGGGUUCGAUUCCGGAGAGGGAGCCUGAGAAACGGCUACCACAUCCAAGGAAGGCAGCAGG
rnacentral:rRNA from 1 species